CAAUAGCGUAUAUUAAAGUUGUUGCAGUUAGAACGCUCGUAGUCGGAUUUCGGGGCGGGCCGACCGGUCUGCCGAUGGGUACGCACUGGUCGGCGCGUCCUUCCUUCCGGAGACCGUGCCUACUCUUAACUGAGCGGGGGCGGGAGACGGAUCGUUUACUUUGAAAAAAUCAGAGUGUUUCAAGCAGGCAGCUCGCUCUUGCAUGGAUUAGCAUGGGAUAAUGAAAUAGGACUUUGGUGCUAUUUUGUUGGUUUCGAACACCGAAGUAAUGAUUAAAAGGGACAGCCAGGGGCACUCGUAUUCCGCCGAGAGAGGUGAAAUUCUCAGACCAGCGGAAGACGAACUACUGCGAAAGCAUUUGCCAGGGAUGUUUUCACUGA
rnacentral:rRNA from 1 species